rnacentral:rRNA from 1 species
UACGAAGGGGGCUAGCGUUGUUCGGAAUCACUGGGCGUAAAGCGCGUGUAGGCGGUUGCCAUAGUCAGGUGUGAAAGCCUUGAGCUUAACUCAAGAAAUGCACUUGAUACUGGGCGACUAGAGGACCGGAGAGGAUAGUGGAAUUCCCAGUGUAGUGGUGAAAUACGUAGAGAUUGGGAAGAACACCAGUGGCGAAGGCGGCUAUCUGGACGGUUACUGACGCUAAGACGCGAAAGCGUGGGGAGCAAACAGG